rnacentral:rRNA from 1 species
AUUGAACGCUGGCGGCAGGCCUAACACAUGCAAGUCGAACGAGUGGCGGACGGGUGAGUAAUGUCUGGGAAACUGCCUGAUGGAGGGGGAUAACUAAUGGAAACGGUAGCUAAUACCGCAUACCAUCGGAGGUGCCCAGAUGGGAUUAGCUAGUAGGUGGGGUAAAGGCUCACCUAGGCGACGAUCCCUAGCUGGUCUGGAAGGAUGACCAGCCACACGUGAACAGAUACACGGUCCAGACUCCUACGGGAGGCAGAAGGGUGGAAUAUUGCACGAUGGGCGCAAGCCUGAUGCAGCCAUGCCGCGUGUAUGAAGAAGGCCUUCGGGUUGUAAAGUACUUGCAGCGGGGAGGCUUUACCCGGAGAAGAAGCACCGGCUAACUCCGUGCCAGCAGCCGCGGUAAUAC